rnacentral:rRNA from 1 species
GACGAACGCUGGCGGCGUGCUUAACACAUGCAAGUCUGAGGGCGGGGCCACCCGUCACCGGCGAACGGGUGCGGAACACGUGAGCGACCUGCCUUGUGUGUGGGCGCUAGCCGGCCCAACGGCCGCGUAAUACCGCAUCCGUCCCGCGCUUGGAGGCGCUGAGAGAAAGUCCGGAAGGGCGCACGAGGAGGGGCACGCGGACUAUCUGCGAGUUGGGGGGGUAUCGGCCCACCACGGCGACGCCAGGCAGCUGGUCUGAGAGGAUGCCUGGCAACAUCCGGGCUGAGAGAGGGCCCAGACUACUGCGGGAGGCAGCAGUGGGGAAACUUGCGCAAUGGGCGAAAGCCUGACGCAGCGACGGCGCGUGGAGGAUGAGGCCCUGCGGGGUGUAAACUCCUGUUGCUCGGGACGAACGGCGGGAAUCGGCCCGCUUGACGGUACCGGGUGAGGAAGCACCGGCUAACUCUGUG